rnacentral:rRNA from 1 species
GACAGAGGUGCCAAGCGUUAGGCGGAAUCACUGGGCUUAAAGCGUGUGUAGGCGGGUGCCUAAGUACCUUGUGAAAUCCCCCCGGCUCAACCGGGGAACGGCUGGGUAUACUGGGUGCCUUGGGUCAUCUAGGGGCUGCCGGAACAAAUGGUGGAGCGGUGAAAUGCGUAGAUAUCAUUUGGAACGCCAACGGCGAAAGCAGGCAGCUGGGGAUGCACCGACGCUGAGACACGAAAGCCAGGGGAGCGAACGGGG